rnacentral:rRNA from 2 species
CACAUGCAAGUCGAGCGGGGAGAUGUAGCUUGCUACAUUUCCUAGCGGCGGACGGGUGAGUAAUGCUUAGGAAUCUGCCUAUUAGUGGGGGACAACAUUCCGAAAGGAAUGCUAAUACCGCAUACGCCCUACGGGGGAAAGCAGGGGAUCUUCGGACCUUGCGCUAAUAGAUGAGCCUAAGUCAGAUUAGCUAGUUGGUGGGGUAAAGGCCUACCAAGGCGACGAUCUGUAGCGGGUCUGAGAGGAUGAUCCGCCACACUGGGACUGAGACACGGCCCAGACUCCUACGGGAGGCAGCAGUGGGGAAUAUUGGACAAUGGGCGCAAGCCUGAUCCAGCCAUGCCGCGUGUGUGAAGAAGGCCUUUUGGUUGUAAAGCACUUUAAGCGAGGAGGAGGCUACUUGGAUUAAUACUCUAGGAUAGUGGACGUUACUCGCAGAAUAAGCACCGGCUAACUCUGUGCCAGCAGCCGCGGUAAUACAGAGGGUGCGAGCGUUAAUCGGAUUUACUGGGCGUAAAGCGUGCGUAGGCGGCUUUUUAAGUCGGAUGUGAAAUCCCUGAGCUUAACUUAGGAAUUGCAUUCGAUACUGGGAAGCUAGAGUAUGGGAGAGGAUGGUAGAAUUCCAGGUGUAGCGGUGAAAUGCGUAGAGAUCUGGAGGAAUACC